GCUAAAAAAACCCCACCAGGCCACGAACUGCCCGCCCCGAUCGCCCGCUGCCGCGGCAACCUCCCAGAUCCCCACCGUCGUGCCACUUCCGUCGCGCCGCAGCCCCCUCCUCCUCCUGGCUCGGUGCCCCCUCCUCCUGGCACCGCCGACGCACCUCCUCCCGGCGCGCCGCCGCCUCCUCCCCAACCACCGGCGCCUCCCCGGAUCCGCCGCGCGCCACCAUGCGGCAGCCAGCUCCCCGCCAGAUCGCGCCGCGCGCCGCCAACCCACCCUCCCGCCGGCAUCAGCGACCCAACCCAGCCGACGCUUCCAUGCCCGGACCUCCUCCCGGUGAGGCGCGACACCAACGCCGAGAUCUUCAACACUGACCGUCCCCAAUGGAUCCCUGGCCCUGGACGACCAUGCAGCAGCCAUCUGCUCGGUCGAAGGCAGCGCCGCCUCCGCCACCCACGUGUCGCCGCGUGCCACAUCCUCCAGCCCACAUUGUUUCGUCGCAGGCCACUGUCUCUAGUUGCAGCCGUUCACCACUGUCGUGCGAGGUGAGCGGGAUUCCAACCUAUUCCCUCCUCCAUCCCGAGAGCACAACUCCAACGAGCUUGUCGACUGACAGAAAAGGAGAUGGGAGCUACACUCCUAUAGGCCACCAACCUGAAGCUGACGAGGUAUCGAGAAGAAAUAAGUAUUGGUGAACCAUUGCUGGCAAUUUUGUUACAAAACAAACAUGUACAGAGAUGUUAGACCUGUUACAUUUGUCCAUGUUGCUUUAAUUUGGUAGCCUGCUACAUUUGUCCUCCUGAUUAAAUCUGAGAUCGGAAGGGUGUACAUUUUUGUUUGCAA